GACGAACGCUGGCGGCGUGCUUAACACAUGCAAGUCGAACGGAAAGGCCCUGCUUUUGUGGGGUGCUCGAGUGGCGAACGGGUGAGUAACACGUGAGUAACCUGCCCUUGACUUUGGGAUAACUUCGGGAAACUGGGGCUAAUACCGGAUAGGAGCUCCUGCUGCAUGGUGGGGGUUGGAAAGUUUCGGCGGUUGGGGAUGGACUCGCGGCUUAUCAGCUUGUUGGUGGGGUAGUGGCUUACCAAGGCUUUGACGGGUAGCCGGCCUGAGAGGGUGACCGGCCACAUUGGGACUGAGAUACGGCCCAGACUCCUACGGGAGGCAGCAGUGGGGAAUAUUGCACAAUGGGCGGAAGCCUGAUGCAGCAACGCCGCGUGCGGGAUGACGGCCUUCGGGUUGUAAACCGCUUUCGCCUGUGACGAAGCGUGAGUGACGGUAAUGGGUAAAGAAGCACCGGCCAACUACGU
rnacentral:rRNA from 1 species